AUGAUCCGCAAGCGCACAGAUAUCGGUGAGCAUUUCACCCGGGAGGUUUUCCAGAGUAUCGUAUUUAUAUUUUUACCACUGGGAGAAAGGGUGCAUCUGACUAACCAAAUCUAUUGCUACUAUCCCUUUAGGCUACAAAGAAUGUUUCUCGAUGUGAGUGAUGAAUAGAGAAGACUGCAACCGUAGUCUCGUUCUAACCUUGGUGAGGAUGAUCUAUUGUUCUAUUGGG
rnacentral:lncRNA from 1 species